AUGCAUUCACUUGCUUGCGUACACAUGGAGACGUCGGGUGGCGGCACAGCGCAGCACCACUUCGUGUGCCCCAUCUCACUGCAGCCCAUGCAGGACCCGGUCACGGCGCCCACCGGCAUCUCCUACGACCGACGCGCCAUCGAGCGGUGGCUCGCCAACGGCCACGCCACCUGCCCCGUCACCGGCCGGCAGCUCUCCCUCACCGACCUCACCCCAAACCACACCCUCCGCCGCCUCAUACUCUCCUGGCAUCCCGCGUCGAAGGUGGCACCUGACGUGGCGCCGACGUUGGAGCCCGAUGAUCCGGAGGUCGUUGUGCUCGUCGCGAAGGUGAUGUCCCCGACUUCUUGCCCAACGGCCGAUGUUCUCUGCGAAGCGGCGGCGUCUGCCGCUGUGAGCAUCACGGCGCGGCGGUGCAUGGUGCGCGCCGGCGUUCAGUGGCGCGUGCUCCGUCUGUUCUCGUCGUGCGGUAAGACGAGCUCGCGCGCUGUGAUGCCCACCGUUCAAGCGUGCCUGGCUCUCCUUGACGCGCUCGACGUCUCCGCCGACGAGCUCCGGCCUCUCCUUUCCGGCAACCACGACCUCGUCGACGCGCUGACGCACGUGCUGGUGAUGCUCGAGAAUGGAACCUACUCCGGCGGCGGCGGGAACACGACCAGAGACAGCGCGGUGCGGCUCCUAGACUCCGUGAUCGAGUCGGCUGACGUCGUGCUGCUCGAGCGGCUGCGUCCGGAGCUCUUCCGCGCCGUCACGGCGGUAGUGCGCGACCGUACCGUAUCCCCUGGCGCGACGCGCGCGGCGCUGCGUGCCCUCCUCAACGCGUGCCCCAGCGGCGACGGCAAGAACCGCGUCCUCAUCGCCGAGGCCGGGGCGGCGCACGAGGCCAUCGAGCUGGAGCUGUCCUCCUGGCCCUCGUCCCCGAGCGCCGGCAAGAGCAGGCGCGUCACGGAACUUGUCAUGGCGCUGCUGGCCCGGCUGUGCUCAUGCGCGGAGGGGCGGGCGGCUGUGGUGGCGCACCCCGCGGGGAUCGCACUGGUGGCAAAGCGCGCGCUGCGCGUGUCCGCGGCGACCGACACGUCCGCUGUGCGGGUGCUGGCGGCGGUCUGCGGCAGGGCGGCGUCGCCGGAGGUGGUGCGGGAGAUGGCCCGCGUGGGCGCAGUAGGGAAGCUCUGCUGCGUGCUGCAGGCGGACUGCGACCGAGACGUGAAGGAGACGGCGAAGGCCGUGCUGAGGAUGCACUCCGGCGUGUGGUGCGGGUCGCCCUGCGUCAGCGCCUACCUGCUCUCUAGGUACCUCUAG
rnacentral:rRNA from 1 species